UACGAAGGGUGCAAGCGUUACUCGGAAUUACUGGGCGUAAAGCGUGCGUAGGUGGUUCGUUAAGUCUGUCGUGAAAGCCCCGGGCUCAACCUGGGAAUGGCGAUGGAUACUGGCGAGCUAGAGUGCGGUAGAGGAGAGUGGAAUUCCCGGUGUAGCAGUGAAAUGCGUAGAGAUCGGAGGAGACUCAGUGCGAAGGCGGGCUCUCUGG
rnacentral:rRNA from 1 species